rnacentral:rRNA from 1 species
UACGUAGGUGGCAAGCGUUGGCCGGAUUUACUGGGCGUAAAGAGCGCGCAGGCGGUCGUUCAAGUCGCGUGUGAAAGCCCCCGGCUCAACUGGGGAGGGUCACGCGAUACUGUUCGACUCGAAGGCAGGAGAGGGAAGUGGAAUUCCCGGUGUAGUGGUGAAAUGCGUAGAGAUCCGGAGGAACCCCAGAGGCGAAGGCGGCGUCCUGGCCCAUUUCUGACGUUCAGACAUGACAGCAUGGGGAGCGAACGGG